GAUGAACGCUAGCUACAGGCUUAACACAUGCAAGUCGAGGGGCAGCGCAGUGUAGCAAUACAUGGGCGGCGACCGGCGCACGGGUGCGUAACGCGUAUCCAACCUUCCCGUUACUCAGGGAUAGCCUACCGAAAGGGAGAUUAAUACCUGAUGGUGUUUGAAUUCCGCAUGUUAUUCAAACUAAAGAUUUAUCGGUAACGGAUGGGGAUGCGUGACAUUAGGUAGAUGGCGGGGUAACGGCCCACCAUGCCUACGAUGUCUAGGGGUUCUGAGAGGAAGGUCCCCCACACUGGAGCGGAGACACGGUCCAGACUCCUACGGGAGGCAGCAGUGAGGAAUAUUGGUCAAUGGUCGGAAGACUGAACCAGCCAAGUAGCGUGAAGGAUGAAGGUUCUAUGGAUUGUAAACUUCUUUUAUACGGGAAUAAAACCACCUACGUGUAGGUGCUUGUAUGUACCGUAUGAAUAAGCAUCGGCUAACUCCGUGCCAGCCGCCGCAGUAA
rnacentral:rRNA from 1 species